rnacentral:rRNA from 1 species
UAGGGAAUCUUCCGCAAUGCGGCGAAAGCCUGACGGAGCAACGCCGCGUGAGCGAUGAAGGUCUUCGGAUCGUAAAACUCUGUUAUUAGGGAAGAACAUAUGUGUAAGUAACUGUGCACAUCUUGACGGUACCUAAUCAGAAAGCCACGGCUAACUACGUGCCAGCAGCCGCGGUAAUACGUAGGUGGCAAGCGUUAUCCGGAAUUAUUGGGCGUAAAGCGCGCGUAGGCGGUUUCUUAAGUCUGAUGUGAAAGCCCACGGCUCAACCGUGGAGGGUCAUUGGAAACUGGAAAACUUGAGUGCAGAAGAGGAAAGUGGAAUCCCAUGUGUAGCGGUGAAAUGCGCAGAGAUAUGGAGGAACACCAGUGGCGAAGGCGACUUUCUGGUCUGUAACUGACGCUGAUGUGCGAAAGCGUGGGGAUCAAACAGGAUUAGAUACCCUGGUAGUCCACGCCGUAAACGAUGAGUGCUAAGUGUUAGGGGGUUUCCGCCCCUUAGUGCUGCAGCUAACGCAUUAAGCACUCCGCCUGGGGAGUACGACCCCAAGGUUG